rnacentral:rRNA from 1 species
AGAACGAACGCUGGCGGCGUGGCUAAGACAUGCAAGUCGCACGGACGUAGCAAUACGUUAGUGGCGAACGGGUGAGUAAUGAAUCGCUAAUGUGCCCCGGACUCUGGGAUAGCCAGCCGAAAGGCUGGGUAAUACCAGAUGAUAUAACUUGACGGCAUCGUCGAGUUCUCAAAGGUCCGCCGGUCUGGGAGCAGGCGAUUUCGUAUCAGCUUGUUGGUGAGGUAACGGCUCACCAAGGCGACGACGCGUAGCCGGACUGAGAGGUUGGCCGGCCACAUUGGGACUGAGACACUGCCCAGACUCCUACGGGGGGCUGCAGUAACGAAUCUUCCGCAAUGUACGAAAGUAUGACGGAGCGACGCCGCGUGCAGGACGAAGCCCGUUCGGGGUGUAAACUGCUGUCAGGGGUUAGAAGUUCUGAUCAACCCCAGAGGAAGGCACGGCUAACUCUGUGCCAGCAGCCGC